rnacentral:rRNA from 1 species
UGGGGAAUUUUGGACAAUGGGGGAAACCCUGAUCCAGCCAUCCCGCGUGUGCGAUGAAGGCCUUCGGGUUGUAAAGCACUUUUGGCAGGAAAGAAACGUCGCGGGUUAAUACCCCGCGAAACUGACGGUACCUGCAGAAUAAGCACCGGCUAACUACGUGCCAGCAGCCGCGGUAAUACGUAGGGUGCAAGCGUUAAUCGGAAUUACUGGGCGUAAAGCGUGCGCAGGCGGUUCGGAAAGAAAGAUGUGAAAUCCCAGAGCUUAACUUUGGAACUGCAUUUUUAACUACCGGGCUAGAGUGUGUCAGAGGGAGGUGGAAUUCCGCGUGUAGCAGUGAAAUGCGUAGAUAUGCGGAGGAACACCGAUGGCGAAGGCAGCCUCCUGGGAUAACACUGACGCUCAUGCACGAAAGCGUGGGGAGCAAACAGGAUUAGAUACCCUGGUAGUCCACGCCCUAAACGAUGUCAACUAGCUGUUGGGGCCUUCGGGCCUUGGUAGCGCAGCUAACGCGUGAAGUU